CGCUACUUUCUCUGCUUCUUCUUUGACUCUAAUGGCGCACUCUUGCCAACUUCCCUGUGAUGGCGAUGGCAUUUGCAUGAUCUGCCUCAAUAAGCCAUCACCCGAAGAGACUCUCACUUGCAACACAUGUGGUACUCCCUGGCACGUCACUUGCCUCUCCUCUCCACCACAAACCUUAACAGAUACUGUCCAAUGGGACUGCCCUGACUGCUCUAUGCUCAAUCCGGCUGUCGCCGGAGGAUCCCUG
rnacentral:misc_RNA from 1 species